AAAGGGUGCGUAGGCGGCCUGUUAAGUCAGGGGUGAAAGACGGUAGCUCAACUAUCGCAGUGCCCUUGAUACUGAUGGGCUUGAAUUGACUAGAGGUAGGCGGAAUGUGACAAGUAGCGGUGAAAUGCAUAGAUACCAGGAGGAAUACCGAUUGCGAAGGCAGUCUGCUGCAGUCACACUGACGCUGAGGCUCGAAGGUGCGGGGAUCAAACAGGAUUAGAUACCCCUGU
rnacentral:rRNA from 1 species